CAGUCGCCGCGGUAAUACGUAGGGUGCAAGCGUUAAUCGGAAUUACUGGGCGUAAAGCGUGCGCAGGCGGUUAUAUAAGUCAGAUGUGAAAUCCCCGGACUCAACCUGGGAACUGCAUUUGAGACUGUAUGGCUAGAGUGCGUCAGAGGGGGGUAGAAUUCCACGUGUAGCAGCGAAAUGCGUAGAUAUGUGGAGGAAUACCGAUGGCGAAGGCAGCCUCCUGGGAUAACACUGACGUUGAGGCUCGAAGGCGUGGGGAGCAAACAGGAUUAGAUACCCCCGUAGUCCCUGUCUCUUAUAC
rnacentral:rRNA from 1 species